UACGAAGGGGGCAAGCGUUGCUCGGAAUCACUGGGCGUAAAGCGCACGUAGGCGGGUCGUUAAGUCAGAGGUGAAAGCCUGGAGCUCAACUCCAGAACUGCCUUUGAUACUGAAGGUCUUGAGUUCGGGAGAGGUGAGUGGAACUGCGAGUGUAGAGGUGAAAUUCGUAGAUAUUCGCAAGAACACCAGUGGCGAAGGCGGCCAACUGGCUCGAUACUGACGCUGAGGUGCGAAAGCGUGGGGAGCAAACAGG
rnacentral:rRNA from 1 species